rnacentral:rRNA from 3 species
UGCAGUCGAACGAUGAAGCCCUUCGGGGUGGAUUAGUGGCGAACGGGUGAGUAACACGUGGGCAAUCUGCCCUUCACUCUGGGACAAGCCCUGGAAACGGGGUCUAAUACCGGAUACAACCACUGACCGCAUGGUCGGGUGGUGGAAAGCUCCGGCGGUGAAGGAUGAGCCCGCGGCCUAUCAGCUUGUUGGUGAGGUAAUGGCUCACCAAGGCGACGACGGGUAGCCGGCCUGAGAGGGCGACCGGCCACACUGGGACUGAGACACGGCCCAGACUCCUACGGGAGGCAGCAGUGGGGAAUAUUGCACAAUGGGCGAAAGCCUGAUGCAGCGACGCCGCGUGAGGGAUGACGGCCUUCGGGUUGUAAACCUCUUUCAGCAGGGAAGAAGCGAAAGUGACGGUACCUGCAGAAGAAGCGCCGGCUAACUACGUGCCAGCAGCCGCGGUAAUACGUAGGGCGCAAGCGUUGUCCGGAAUUAUUGGGCGUAAAGAGCUCGUAGGCGGCUUGUCACGUCGAUUGUGAAAGCCCGAGGCUUAACCUCGGGUCUGCAGUCGAUACGGGCUAGCUAGAGUGUGGUAGGGGAGAUCGGAAUUCCUGGUGUAGCGGUGAAAUGCGCAGAUAUCAGGAGGAACACCGGUGGCGAAGGCGGAUCUCUGGGCCAUUACUGACGCUGAGGAGCGAAAGCGUGGGGAGCGAACAGGAUUAGAUACCC